rnacentral:rRNA from 1 species
GAUGAACGCUAGCGGGAGGCCUAACACAUGCAAGCCGAGCGGUAUUGUUUCUUCGGAAAUGAGAGAGCGGCGUACGGGUGCGGAACACGUGUGCAACCUGCCUUUAUCUGGGGGAUAGCCUUUCGAAAGGGAGAUUAAUACUCCAUAACAUAUUGAACGGCAUCGUUUGAUAUUGAAAGCUCCGGCGGAUAGAGAUGGGCACGCGCAAGAUUAGCUAGUUGGUGAGGUAACGGCUCACCAAGGCGAUGAUCUUUAGGGGGCCUGAGAGGGUGAUCCCCCACACUGGUACUGAGACACGGACCAGACUCCUACGGGAGGCAGCAGUGAGGAAUAUUGGUCAAUGGGUGCAAGCCUGAACCAGCCAUCCCGCGUGAAGGACGACUGCCCUAUGGGUUGUAAACUUCUUUUGUAUAGGGAUAAACCUACCCUCGUGAGGGUAGCUGAAGGUACUAUACGAAUAAGCACCGGCUAACUCCGUGCCAGCCGCCGCGGUAAAAC